rnacentral:rRNA from 1 species
UACGUAGGGCGCAAGCGUUGUCCGGAAUUAUUGGGCGUAAAGAGCUCGUAGGCGGCUUGUCACGUCUGCUGUGAAAUCCCGGGGCUCAACCCCGGGCGUGCAGUGGAUACGGGCUGGCUAGAGGCAGGCAGGGGAGAACGGAAUUCCUGGUGUAGCGGUGAAAUGCGCAGAUAUCAGGAGGAACACCGGUGGCGAAGGCGGGACUCUGGGCCGAUACUGACGCUGAGGAGCGAAAGCGUGGGGAGCAAACAGG